AGUUUAGGAAGAGUUAAAAAUACAGAAAAGGCAGCUAUUUUAUUGCUCUAUUGGUCCCAUAUAAGUUCUAACAAAAUAAAAAAUAUCAAAGAAAUUCUAUGGUUCCAUUGGUCUAUUUGGUGAUUUUGAGAUUUGAGAUAAUUUGAAUAUUCCGAGCAUACAAUAAUUUGAAUUUGGUUUCAAGUCUAUGUGAAAUCUGCUGGGUUUUCUUUGAUUAAAGCUAGUUUCUAGUCAAUUAUACAUCGGUUUGAGUUAGUGUUAUUCAUCACUGGGCGCUGAUUGCUGUGUGUUGGGGUUUAAGGCUGAUUUUGGCUUCAUUUCUACUGCUGCUGUUGUUUUCUACUUCUGACCUGCUUCACUUUGUUUUUUUUCUACUUUCCAGGUACAUUCUUGCAUCCAUAUCAUAUGAAUACUGAUCUGAAGAAUAAAAAUGGAAGUUCUAAAAGUUGAAAGCAUGAUUUCAAUUAUGUUAUGAGAUCUAGUUUAUGGUAUUUUAUAGUUUUAGUUUCUUUUUUUUUUGUAAUUAGUUUAUAGUCUUGGCUGAUGCAAUCUGCUCUUCUCGUACUUAAUUUAAGACUGCUAUAGGAUUGGGAAAGGCUUGUUAGCCUAAUCUUAAAUUUAGAGUAGAUGCACUCUUGGAAACCUUGUGAUAUAGCUGUUGUUGAGAUUUGCUUGCUGAACAGCUCACCUCUAUUUCGGUAACUUAUUAAUUGUUUUAGUUCAAUCAUGCAGUUGUGUGGGGGUUUGGGAGAAUGUAUUUAUUAAACUUCGUGGGUAUUAAUAUAGGCAGGUGUUGAUUGUAAGCAUGCUUAGUUUAGUUGUUUCAAUUGAGAAUGUUCAGUUAAUAGGCAAAAACGCAGAAGCAUCAGCCUACUUUGGUAUUAACCAUGAACAUAUUUGAGUUAGAGUUAUUGUUAUCAACUCCUAAUGAUUAAGCUGAUACUUAAAGCUCAGAAAUAAAGGGUUAGUACCAUUUCAUGUUUCAUCUAGUUGUUUGAUUAGCAGUUAUACAUUGGACUUAUUGCUGAAAAUAGUUGAGUCAUUUUGGGCUUGUUAAGCAGGAGUUUAAUACCAUCUCAUUUUCAUGUGGUAUCUCGAAUUGGUUGCAAUUACUUCAAUGUGCAAUAGAGGCGAGCCUGAAUAGGGCCGACAAUGGCCCAACUAAAAAUGAUCAAACUUUUAGUUCCAC
rnacentral:lncRNA from 1 species